rnacentral:rRNA from 1 species
UACGGAGGGUGCAAGCGUUAUCCGGAUUCACUGGGUUUAAAGGGUGCGUAGGUGGCUUUGUAAGUCAGUGGUGAAAGCCUGGAGCUCAACUCCAGAACUGCCAUUGAUACUGCUUAGCUUGAAUCACGUCGAGGUGGUUGGAAUAUUACAUGUAGCGGUGAAAUGCUUAGAUAUGUAAUAGAACACCGAUUGCGAAAGCAGUUCACUAGGCGUGUAUUGACACUGAGGCACGAAAAGCGUGGGGGAUCAAACAGG